rnacentral:rRNA from 1 species
CAGUCGAGCGAGCGGAACCACAGAUUUACUUCGGUAAUGACGUUGGGAAAGCGAGCGGCGGAUGGGUGAGUAACACGUGGGGAACCUGCCCCUAAGUCUGGGAUACCAUUUGGAAACAGGUGCUAAUACCGGAUAAUAAAGCAGAUCGCAUGAUCAGCUUUUGAAAGGCGGCGUAAGCUGUCGCUAAGGGAUGGCCCCGCGGUGCAUUAGCUAGUUGGUAAGGUAACGGCUUACCAAGGCGACGAUGCAUAGCCGAGUUGAGAGACUGAUCGGCCACAUUGGGACUGAGACACGGCCCAAACUCCUACGGGAGGCAGCAGUAGGGAAUCUUCCACAAUGGACGCAAGUCUGAUGGAGCAACGCCGCGUGAGUGAAGAAGGUUUUCGGAUCGUAAAGCUCUGUUGUUGGUGAAGAAGGAUAGAGGUAGUAACUGGCCUUUAUUUGACGGUAAUCAACCAGAAAGUCACGGCUAACUACGUGCCAGCAGCCGCGGUAAUACGUAGGUGGCAAGCGUUGUCCGGAUUUAUUGGGCGUAAAGCGAGCGCAGGCGGAAAAAUAAGUCUAAUGUGAAAGCCCUCGGCUUAACCGAGGAACUGCAUCGGAAACUGUUUUUCUUGAGUGCAGAAGAGGAGAGUGGAACUCCAUGUGUAGCGGUGGAAUGCGUAGAUAUAUGGAAGAACACCAGUGGCGAAGGCGGCUCUCUGGUCUGCAACUGACGCUGAGGCUCGAAAGCAUGGGUAGCGAACAGGAUUAGAUACCCUGGUAGUCCAUGCCGUAAACGAUGAGUGCUAAGUGUUGGGAGGUUUCCGCCUCU